rnacentral:rRNA from 1 species
AUGGCGGACGUAAGUCACGAGUCAAUGAUGGAGUACUAUCAUAUUGCCAACAAGAUGUUUAAUAGUGAGGAUGAAGGUUAUACAUUCUAUAACAAAUAUGGUCUUGAGAAAAGUUUUAGUGUCCGGAGAAGCUAUGUCGAGUGGGAUGGAUCCAACUGCCAUAUAAUUUUAAGGAAAUUUGUGUGUAGUCGUGAAGGGGUUCGUGAAGAGAAGCACAUGAAGAGGAAGAUGGAAGAUAGAAAGAGGAGGCCACGGAGUAUAACUCGUGUAGGGUGUAAAGCUAAAUUGGUGAUUGCAAGACAGGAGGAAACAGGUCAGUGGUUUGUCAAGGAUUUCAUCAAUGAACACAACCAUCCUCUAGCCCCACGGGAUCUGUCGUGUCUUUUGCGUUCACACAGAAGAAUUAGCGAUGAGCAGAAAGCGGACAUUGCAGACAUAGAAAAAUCUGGGAUCAGAAAACACCAUAUUAUGGAUAUUAUGUGCAUGCAAUACGGUGGAUAUGAUGAGGUUGGAUGCAUUAUGAGGGACAUUUACAAUUUCUGCCAUGCUAACAAGCAGGAAACAAUUUCUUCCGGGGAUGCUCAAACAGUGAUCAAUCACAUGGUGGCGAGGCAACAAGAGCAAGAUACAGAUUUUUUUCUUCAGGUACUUGGUUGA